rnacentral:rRNA from 1 species
CCUACGGGUGGCAGCAGUGGGGAAUAUUGGACAAUGGGCGAAAGCCUGAUCCAGCCAUGCCGCGUGUGUGAAGAAGGCCUUCGGGUUGUAAAGCACUUUCAGUGGGGAAGAAAGCCUUUGGGCUAAUACCCUCGAGGAAGGACAUCACGCACAGAAGAAGCACCGGCUAACUCCGUGCCAGCAGCCGCGGUAAUACGGAGGGUGCGAGCGUUAAUCGGAAUUACUGGGCGAAAGCGCGCGUAGGCGGUCUGAUAAGCCGGUUGUGAAAGCCCCGGGCUCAACCUGGGAACGGCAUCCGGAACUGUCAGGCUAGAGUGCAGGAGAGGAAGGUAGAAUUCCAGGUGUAGCGGUGAAAUGCGUAGAGAUCGGGAGGAAUACCAGUGGCGAAGGCGGCCUUCUGGACUGACACUGACGCUGAGGUGCGAAAGCGUGGGUAGCAAACAGGAUUAGAUACCCCGGUAGUC